AAACAAAUAACUUUUCUCGAAAUCAGAUAACUUCAUGAAAUUAUGAAUAUUAAUUCGCGAAAGAUGUCAGUUAUAUAAAAAUAGAUGCUCUUCAAUUGGUGAACAUUGUCUUUAUCCUACAGACCAAGAACUGGAGUGUACGUGCAUACUAUAGCAAGUAAUCAUGCCCGCAUACGAUAUUCAGGACGCCGAUCUUCGGGGUAUGUCAUCAUCACAGCUUAUUGUUUUGUAUCGUCAGAGAGGUUAUUCUAUACGUGAAAUUCUUGGAGUUAUGGCCAUACGACAUGGAACAAUAACAAGCGAACGAUCAAUUUUCCGAGUCUUGAGACGUUACCGCCUGACUAGAGGCCAAAGUCAGCACAGUCUCGACGAAAUUAUUCAAGAAAUAUUGCUUGAGUUAUCAGCUUCCGGUGAAAAUGCUGGUUACCGGCAAAUGCGUCAAAGACUCCUGAUUAAUCAUGGACUUGCAGCUACAUUUGAGAUGGUUCGUCUUAUUUUAGGACUCAUUGAUUCACAAGGUGCUGCCGAUGUACAUAUCUAGCUUUUAUUUAGAUUACAUUAGGGAAAUUGAUGGCAUUCCAGUUCGGGUUUACGGUGACGCGGUAUAGAAAAUUCUAUUGUCCGUGAUGUGCAAAUGGCAUUACGAUGGACAGACGCAGAUCAGUACCAGGGGAUGCAAAGUUUCGUCUAUGUUUCAUCUAACAGAAAUGUCUGAAUUGAGAGGUUUUGGCGAAGUCUUAGAGAAAUGUGUGGAAAUGUCUGGAUGAACCAUUUUAAAGAUAUGAGUGAUUUCGGAUUACUGGACACAUCUGAUAGUGUGCACUUAGAAUGCAUUAGAUAUUGUUUUCUUCUUGUCAUUAGUAAAGACCUCAAUGAAGUUUGCAAUAUUUGGAAUACUCAUUGUGUUCGUCGAAAUAACCGAAUUUCAUGUCCUGCAGGAAAACCUGAGGUGUUGUUCUUUCAGCCAGAAGUACAUGGCGCAAGAGAUUGUAAAAUAUCACUGGUUGACCAAAGGGAAUUAAAUGAUGUGGAACGGGAGUAUUCUCAACGCCCUCCAGAACUUGGUAUAUCACAAGAGUUCCUGACAAUUGCAAGAGCAGCUGUCGGAGAUUUGAAUCUUCAAUACCCACCUAGAAACAGAGAAGAAGGAACAGAGCUUUUUGCUGCAAUAAUCAUGUACAUUGAACGCCUCGUUUAACACGGAAAUGAAACAAAAAUGAACUUAAUGAUACUUCCUUACAAGCUGGCUAACUUGUGCAUUGGUUGACAAAAUGUCAAUUAAUAUAUAUAGUUGUGUCUGAAAGCAGAGCAAGUACUAGUUUUAAACAAGCUGUUGGCUUUGUAUGCGUUGUCAUUGCCAUGUAUGAUUGUGUGUCAAUAAAACAAUACAUGUUU